rnacentral:rRNA from 1 species
CCUAGUUGAUCCUGCCAGUAGAACAUGCUUGUCUCAAAGAUUAAGCCAUGCAAGUCUAAGUACACACCGCCCGUACAGUGAAACUUCGAAUGGCUCAUUAAAUCAGUUAUGGUUCCUUUGAUUGCUCCACCAUUACUUGGAUAUCUAUGGUAAUUCUAGAGUUAAAACAUGCAAACGAGCGCUGACCUCCGGGGAUGCAUUUAUUAGAUCCAAGACCCAUUCGGGGAGGUUCCCCUCGGGGGCCACCCCAGACGCUUUGGAGACUCUGGAUAACCUCGAGCUGAUCACUGGCCCCCUGUGGCGGCGACGUCUCGUUAGAAUGUCUGCCCUGUCAACUUUCGAUGGUACUUUCUGUGCCUACCAUGGUGACUACAGUUAAUGGGGAAUCAGGGUUUGAUUCCGGAGAGGGAGCCUGAGAAACGGCUACCACAUCCAAGGAAGGCUGCAGGCGCGCAAUUACCCACUCCAGACUCGGGGAGGUAGUGACAAUAUAACAAUAGAAUAACAAUAAAGGACAUUUUUGAGGCCCUGUAAUUGGAAUGAGUACAUUUAAAAUCCCCUAUUGAAGAUCUAUUGGAGGGCAAGUCUGGUGCCAGCAGCUGCUGUAAUUCCACCUUCAGUAACAUAUUUUCAUGAAGGAUGGACGGAAACUCUAGAGGAGAUGAGUUGCUGGGUGAAGUGUUGUCACUUACAGCAACAUCAUUUUGAAUGAGUGAAAUUCUUCCGCUGUUUGAUGGUUCAGUUCCCCAAAUGUUUCUUCAUCGCUUUCUUCAUGAAAAACUCAUCCAUUACUGGUGUUUGUUCAUAAUAUAUUUCAUGACAUUUGUUACAAGACUGCAGAGGAAGCGAAAAGGGAGAAAAAAAGUUUAAAUGAGAACAACUUCCUCAGAUAUGAACUUGGAAAAUUAUGGUGAAAGUG